rfam:Berkelbacteria bacterium GW2011_GWE1_39_12, complete genome.
AAAAAUGUUAUUCGGGUAAUUUGUCAAAAUCCAAAACACAAACAACGUCAAGGUUAAUAACAGGAGUACCAUAUGGCCCGUAUUGCCGGAGUAAACAUCCCAGAC